rnacentral:SRP_RNA from 2 species
GCCAGGCAUGGUGGUGCAUGCCUGUAGUCUCAGCUACUCGGGAGGCUGAGGCAGGAGAAUUGCUUGAACCCAGGAGGCGGAGGUUGCAGUGAGCCGAGAUCGUGCCACUGCACUCCAGCCUGGGUGACAAAGCGAGACUCUGUCUUAA